rnacentral:rRNA from 1 species
GACGAACGCUGGCGGCGUGCCUAAUACAUGCAAGUCGAACGAACCGCGACUAGGUGCUUGCACUUGGUCAAGGUGAGUGGCGAACGGGUGAGUAACACGUGGGUAACCUACCUCAUAGUGGGGGAUAACAGUCGGAAACGACUGCUAAUACCGCAUAGGACAUAGGAUCACAUGAUUCUGUGAGGAAAGGUGGCGCAAGCUAUCGCUAAGAGAUGGACCCGCGGUGCAUUAGCUAGUUGGUAGGGUAAAGGCCUACCAAGGCGAUGAUGCAUAGCCGACCUGAGAGGGUGAUCGGCCACAUUGGGACUGAGACACGGCCCAAACUCCUACGGGAGGCAGCAGUAGGGAAUCUUCCGCAAUGGACGCAAGUCUGACGGAGCAACGCCGCGUGAGUGAAGAAGGUCUUCGGAUCGUAAAGCUCUGUUGUUAGAGAAGAACAGCGCAUAGAGUAACUGUUAUGCGUGUGACGGUAUCUAACCAGAAAGCCACGGCUAACUACGU